CUUUGCGUGAAGGAAAAAAGCUACAGCAAGUCGCGGGCGUUCCGCAUUUCGGUCGGCGCGGGACGAAGUAAAAUCCGUCUCCAUCGGACAAGCGAAAUGGCAGCGGAUGGAAGGUGGUUCGGAAAUGCUUCAAACUUUAGACUAAUUACCUGGAGAAAUAUGGAACUUGACGUCAUUUUCUUGAAAACGAUUUGUGUCACUUUUUGUUCGUUUGUGAAGUGAGCAUAAAUACCGGACACUGAAUCUUUGCAUCGAAAACAGUACUAUCUUCUGGAAAAGAUGAGACACCUGAUUCCUCUGGCUGGCAUCCUUUCCUGAAACUCAUCAAUGUCACUUUUUGUCUGUUUGAGAAGUGAGCUUAAAUGCUGGGCGCCAAAUCUCUGCUUUGAAAACAUCCCUAAAGAGAUGGGACACCUGAUUCCUCAAGCUGACAUAAUUUUUCCCUUCCUGAUACUCAUCCACAUAACUUUUUGUCUGUUGGAGGAGUGAGCUUCAAAUGCUAGGUGCUGUGGGUCUUCCUUUUGGAAAAGGUGCUGCUGGUUCAGGAGACGCAUAAACUUACCAUGUUGAGCUGUGAGAAAAGCAAAAUGGGCAAAAAGUAAAAUCCACAGGAAAUACAAUUUUAGAAAUGUCCAACAGGAGAAAAGUCAAUGAGAUGGGACAUUUGCCAAUCCAUCGUCAAGAAAUUUUCCCUUACACCUCUCAUAGAUGUUGCUCUCUUGACAACCUCCAGCACACGACAUCAGCUUAGCCCUUUCUCAAUGUUUUCUCCUCUUGUAUGAUCUAUUGUGAAUUAGUUUAUUUCCACUUAUGACAAAACUCCCACUUUUGGACUUUUAAAAAACAGGAUGUACAUAAAAUCAAUCACAAUUUUCCAUAGUAUAAAAUGCUACAAUAAA